rnacentral:lncRNA from 1 species
AGCCUUAAAGAUUUAAAGAAGCAAUGUUGUCAUCGGAUACAUCCUUUUGGAAAGAGGCAGUUGUUAUGCGGAGAAAUUUUGACUUUUGGAAGAGUCGCUACUUAAUUUUGAAAAGUAAUUAAGAAACCUUUAGAGAGUUACUUCAAACGAUCCAAAUUAGGAAAAUCAUUUUAAGUUAGAGAUUCUAGAUAAGCGAUUCCUAUUAAUAUUUUAGGAAGGUGUUAGGCACCUAAAACAUCCGCUAACUUGCUGUUAUCUGAUUAGUUUUAAAACAUUCUUUUGAUUAACUUCUAAAAAAAGACUAAUUUGUUAAAAAGUGAUUGAUUUUUUAGAAAAGACUUUUGUAAGAUAGGUUUAGGCGAUUUAAUAGGGAUUUUAACUAAGUCUAAACAAAAACAAUAAACAAAUAAACACAUAAAAAAGGAAGAAGGGAGUAGAAAGUAAAGGAUUUAGGCCAUUGGGCCGAAAUCAAUGAGACCUGUCCUAGUCUAAUUUGGAUUUCAACCCAUUUCACCCGUCCUAAUCUAGUUUUCGAGCCUUUGGCUCAAAUCUUGCUCCACCUGUAUUAAAUACAACUUUUGCUUCGUGGCCCAAAUGAAUGAUGAAUAAAUAAAUAAGAAAAAAAAUAAAGACAAUAAUACUUAAACAAAUUAAACAACAAAUGAGACUUUGGAGUCUCUUAGCCGUUUCAAAUGUAGGUCUUUAACCUACCUUUCUUCUUCUAACUCCUCGUAUUUACGCCAUGGGAUCACUUUUGGAUUUAAACAUUGAGGAUAUGGGCCUCAUUGGCCCACUUGAUAAUGCAAUGGGAGGAGUCCACAAGAUUCGCAUGUAAAGGAAGAAAGACAAGAAUUAGAAUCAUUCUAAACAACGUAAUUUGCAAAGUUUAAAAAUGAGUAAAUACGCAUAUAGCGUGGACUAGGAUCUAUACGAGAAGGUAGAAAAAAUGCAUGGAAUUGAUGUGGAAGUCGGUUAUAUCACAUAUGAAUAAGCGUUGGACUAAUUUUAUUUUGCUAUUUUGGUCAAUAUGUAGGCUGAACUAUGUCUUAAAAAAAGAAUGACUUGGUCGCAAACAAUGUCUUAUCAAAGAACCCACAUUAACACAAAUUUGUCAUGACUAUUCUUUAGGAUACAAAACUGCAAGUUGGUAAAAAAUAGAAAUUGAGAGGAGCAAGCAAAAAUUUAGCAAAAACUGAACCAAAAGCAAAUUUUCCUAAGCGCCCAAAUUCUUAUCAAUAUGCAUGCUAAUUGUUACUUAUUGGAAUCAUUUUAACAGUAGUCAUAACGUGAUUUCCAACAUGUGAUGCAAAGACUUGAACUUUAAAAUGAUCCAUAGGAAUUGAAAGAGGGACAUACAAAAGCAAAGUAAUACCCAGCUAUUAAUUUGUUUCAAAAGUCACUGGAAAAAAUAAAAUAAAAUUCAUAACCAUGGAUAGACUAUUUUAAGGAAAUUCAAAGGACUUCAUCCCCUCAUUGAAUCCUUACUCUUAACAUUGUAGAUCGAUAAAGAUUCUCCGGGAAUCCUUAACCUGAGUAUAGACUAUACACAGUGCUACGACAACAAAAUGAAGCUAACUUCUUUGAACAAACAUACUCAAAUAUCUAGCAUCCCAGAGCACAACUAUAUUUAUACUUCUAAUGUGUUUUCACUGAAGAUGAUCCUAAAGGAAGAGUGGAAAUCUAAUUUUGAGUUUUAAGACCAAAAUAAAGGCAUAACACACUAAACUAAAGGUAAAUAAGAUAAAUUCUACUAUCAUCAUCCUCACUCUCUCUUCGACAGACCCAAAAAGAUAAGCUUUUGGUAGCCGAGAUGAUCGCCGAGGAAUCACAGGAUUUGUCAAUUUUUUGUUGAGCGUAUCCUCGUCAUUCUUUGUCAUUUGGGAAGCCAAAGAACUCAAGAGAAAGUCUCGACAAACAAGAUGACGUUAAAUACUAACAAUGAACAAAACCCCUUGGCCCAAAAACAAUUGAAACAAGAACAAAACAUGAAACUUUAAAAUAAGAUAAGCUAGAAAAGGGCGACAUCAACCCAAAACGAUCAAAGCACGCAACUUUAAACCAUGAAUCCAACCAUGACAACAUACAUGCAGCCCAAAACGACCAAACAGAAUCAAACUUUAACCACGAAACUAGCCUUAACAGGAUACCAGUAACUCAAAACAAAAUCAAAAGCAUAAAACUUUAAACGACAAAACUAAUCUUAACAAGAUACCAACAACUCAAAACAGAAUCAAAGAACAUGAAACGUUAACAUAAAGUCAGCUAUACAAACCUUAAGCAGUUCACAAAAAUGAGAGUAUUAAAUAAGAAAUCUACCAAAACAACUACAUACGACUAUCAAAGUCAUCGACCAGCAAACAACCUAGCAUACAAUCAUACAAAAAAUUUAUUCAGAAUACAGAAGAUUGAGAUGAAGAAGAAGAGAUGAACAAUUGAACGAAAAAGGAUAUUACCUGUUUGGGAGCAGCAAAAUAAGAUGACGAACUGAUGUCGAGACCGUUACCACCGGGAAUUGAUAUUAUCUACUCGAGAACUUCCGAUUGAUCGACCAAACUUCCAAAAAAGAAAAAGAAAGGAGAAGAUAUUCUACUGUGAAGGAAAACUUUUAGUUCUGAGGUCCCUUUCCCUUUUUCCAACCAAAAAUUUCCCACCCCCCUAAACAGUGAACCAAUGGGUUCUUAUAUAGAAGACCAAAUUAGAGGUAAUUUAGGGAUUUAAAAAUAGGAUAUUUUUGAAUUUGAAUUUCAAAAAUCCUCUCACAUCUUGGGUUUCAUUAACAAACUAUACCCAAUUUUGGAUUUCUUAAGAGAAUUUUGAAAAAUUUGCUAAUAGAAAUUGAGGGAAAUGAAUAAUUCCCCAAAAACCAACGAGAUUCUACCAAUUAUGUAGGAAUUCAUAUCUUUAUCCUGAGAUUUGCUGAGUUGGACGUUGGAUAGGAUACUUAGACUCUUUUCUAGAAGAUUCGAGGGUUUUUGAUGGUGUAUCAUUGUGGGUUUGGGUUGGCAGAUUGUUGUGUUUUCGGGUUUGAGUCGGCGAGUUUGAAUUGCAAAUGGCUGAUGUUGUUUUUUUGGAAGCUGUUGGUCGGUGUUGGUUUCUCGAUGUUUGCAAGAUGUUGUACGCGGC